ACAUAUAACCAUAGGAUCUUGAAAGCAAUGCUUCCCUUCCGCUCAGCAAUAUUUAAGCAGAAUACCGGCGGAUUAGUAGCCAGGUGGGUGAUCACUGUCGAGUCCCCGCUGUUGUAUGUU
rnacentral:rRNA from 1 species